AUUGAACGCUGGCGGCAUGCCUUACACAUGCAAGUCGAACGGCAGCGGGGGAGAAGCUUGCUUUUCCUGCCGGCGAGUGGCGAACGGGUGAGUAAUACAUCGGAACGUGCCCUGUAGUGGGGGAUAACUAGUCGAAAGAUUAGCUAAUACCGCAUACGACCUGAGGGUGAAAGUGGGGGGCCGCAAGGCCUCAUGCUCUAGGAGCGGCCGAUGUCUGAUUAGCUAGUUGGUGGGGUAAAGGCCUACCAAGGCGACGAUCAGUAGCUGGUCUGAGAGGACGAUCAGCCACACUGGGACUGAGACACGGCCCAGACUCCUACGGGAGGCAGCAGUGGGGAAUUUUGGACAAUGGGCGAAAGCCUGAUCCAGCAGUGCCGCGUGUGUGAAGAAGGCCUUCGGGUUGUAAAGCACUUUUGUCCGGAAAGAAAUGGCUCUGGUUAAUACCUGGGGUCGAUGACGGUACCGGAAGAAUAAGGACCGGCUAACUACGUGCCAGCCGCCGCGGUAA
rnacentral:rRNA from 1 species